rnacentral:lncRNA from 1 species
GAAUGGGGUGCUGACUGUGACUGUGCCGAAAGAGGAGGAGAAGAAGCCUGAGGUCAAGGCCAUUGACAUUUCCGGUUAAACUAAAUUCGCGUAACCUCGAUCGGCUACUUUUGAGCUCUGUUUUGGUGUGGUGUUAAGUUCUGCUUGUGUGUAUUUCCGAGUCUCUCUGUAUGUGAGAUGAGUGAUAUGGCGUGUCAAUUGUCAUGUAUGGGUUCUUAUUCUAAAUAUUAUAAUAAAUCUUUAUAAAAGUUUACAUUAUAUUUCCAAGAAGUGUGUCUGGGAGAAGGUCUAUUUAAUUUGUUUUCCACGAAUAUGAAGAAGAUGACCGUUCAUGGCGCGAUUCUCUUGCUCUUAAAGUCUAGAACUUUAACACCUGCGCAUGGAAUUGACAAAGAUUCUUUCGAUCUUCACAUGUGCUACUGCUAUUGGGAACCAGCUGCUGAGCUCGUGCGUCCUACGAAGGUUGCAGAGGUGUAUCAGGCAAAGAAGAAAGUUAGAGAUACAAAUUUUGUAUGGGAGAAGUAAUGCUCAAGUCGACAGUCCAGCAAAGGCGACAUUGAAGACAUCUUACUUACUCCAAGAGCAUAUGGCGAAUGCUCGAAGUUGCUUAAUUAGGACAUGGUUCUACAGUGGUCGAAAUUCCUAGCUGCUGUUUUUGGUUUAUUUUCAAGGUUAUAUUUUCAAGAGAACUUUAACGAAAAACUUCCAGUACUGUUUACUUUAACGAAAAAUCAUAUUUUUACACUAAAAAAUUAAUCAUGCUAUUAUUCAUUUUACCUUUUAUUUUAUCCUUACUGUUAAAACUCAAAAUUUUUAAGUCAUUUUUAUUAGUUUUUCUUAUUUUCAACUGUUUUUGGUUUGACUCGUGAACAAGGUUGUGUUUGCAAUUUUAAACCGGUGAUUGUUUCUUUUGUUUCUUUUGGUUUUUAGUUUGGAUAUUAAAAGUGUUGUACCGUUUUAAUAUAAAACAAAGCUUUUGAGUACUUCCAUGGUCAUCUUAACCCUGGAUGCAAAACGAGAUUGAUUCAAUCCUAAACGAGAUCAAUUAUUUAAGUGAAAUCAACCGCUGUAUUUUACUUGUAGACUAGAGCUGACAUAUCUUUUGUUGUGAAUUUUAGCAAGGUACAACAAUGCGCCUACACGUAGACACUAGACAUAUGUCCAAGUCAUCCUGCAAUUACUUUAUAGGUAUAGUGAAAUGAUGAUCAAACCCUAAAUUCUAAACCCUAAACCCUAGGGAAAAGUAAUUGAUGACAAAAAUACUGAGAAAUAAAAUUUGACUUCCUUCAGCUUUCGACCUUCCCUAGGUAGAUAUCCAUAUAGUAGCUUUUUCAACUUUGUAUCGGUCGUAUUCUUGAAUUUGGAAGGAAAAGAGGAGUAAUGCUUCCUAGCAUGGGACAUAGAAUAAGACCUAGAAUAAGGCCACUUAGAUUAGAAUAGCAUUCACAGAAAUGUUCUAACAUAGAGUUAAAUCGAACAUUGAAGAGAUUAGUUGGUCGUUAUUGGGACGGGUUCAAACAGGACUGCAAUCAAUAAUAAAAAAAAUAAAAAAUAAAAGAAUGAAGGAGCGGAACCUUCCUUUGACUCAAGCCAACCCCAGGUCAGGACGAGACUUUCUUUGUGCUACCAAUUAGUGAAAUUCUAUCUCUUUCUUACACAACUAAAAAAUGGGCAACAACUCUUGAAUCAAAAGCCUUCUAAGUUAUGCUGAUGAUGGUUAUUUAAACCGUACAAAGCGCGUUUCUAGAACGAUUUAUGUCUUUAAAUUCAUUCUAUGCGUUGAAGAAAUGACUUUUCUCAAUUGUAAGGGAUUAGUAAUCUUGCUAAAAAUGAUGAAAAAAGGAUUACAUGAAUUGUUGUUUGUACAAAAAUUAUUAAUAAAAGUUGUAGUUUAUCGUUUAAUGUUUCAAUUUUAUUUUCAUCUAAUUUUUUGGAGCUUUUUGUGAAACUUUAUAGGCCUAAGCAUGAUCUAUCACCGAUAUGAUCCCAACUUAACCACGUAUGGCUUAGUGUUGGGUUUUAUCCCAAAAUGACUGGUAAUAUUAGGGGUGAAAACUCUUAUUUAUUAAUAGUGUUGCAGUCCUAUUAGAUUAAGAAUUUGAUUGUGUAAAUCCUAACUUAUAUAUGAUAUCCUUAUGUGAUUCUACCAUAUAUUUUAGACUAUAUAUUAUCCUUUUACAGUUGUAAUUCUAUUGGGGUAAGGAAUUUACCUUCACUACUACUAUAAAUAAAGGCACUAUGGGAUGAUAUAACACACACCUCACAAUUACACAUCUAUCUCUUCUCUCUCUAUGUGAUGCACCCCCUCUCUCUGGCAUUCAUAAGUGUUCAGUAAAUUAUGCCUACAAUACAUUAUCAGCACGCUCUUGAUGCUACGCUAAAGAGAGUUUAUUCUUCAUUCAGUGAAGUAUUACGUUUUAAUCAUUCUUUUUAUGAUUAAUUUAUUAUUUUAUUGAAUUGACCUACAUGCUAUUUGUUGAUGCACAAAACCGGAGGGGUCUUGGAACAACGUAAAUCUGACCGUGAAUCUGCAAGAAAUUAAAUAACACAAGAUGUAUCGUGGUUCAUCCCAAUGUUCGGGCUACGUCCACACUGAUAUUGUAUUUCUCUGUUUGUGAGAGGAUUGUGAGGGUGAGAGCCUCUGUAAUGUGAGAGUGAUGCUUCUCUUUAGGGAUCUGAGACCCUUCCGUUUGUGAGGGUGAGGAUACCCCUUUUAUAGACUAAGAGCUCCUCACUUAUUACAUAUUUCCCCCUUCAUUUAUUACAUAAUUACAUUUGAGUCCCCCGAGUAUUUAUACGAGGUCUAAAUACGGAGGCCCUAAGUAUGGUACAAACAGUAGUCCCCCAAGUCUUCAGUCAAGAGAGUCUUUUGGCUAGAGACUUGAAAUUCAGUCCAUGUGUAGGCCGAAGUAACUAGAUGUCGUCUAGGACUGAUACUCGAUAUGAAGCGGUGCUCAAUCUGAAAUAAUGUUCAACUAGAAGUAGCACAUGUUGCAAGGCUGCUCGGUUUGUGGCUUAUGUUGCCUUGGUUGGCUCGGCUUGUGGCGUUGAAGGUGAGGGAGUCCCUUUUAUAAAAUAAGGGCUCGCUCCUCAAUACAUAAGUGAUGGGCUAGAGUUUAUGCUCGCGGCGAGACGGUUGCUCAGCUGGCGACGAUGCUCUCUAAUGAUGGUGAGGGAGUCCCUUUUAUAGAAUAAGGGAUCGCUCCUCAAUACAUAAGUGAUGGGCUAGAGUUGAUGCUCACGGCGAGACGGUUGCUCAGCUGGCGACGCUGCUCUCUAAUGAUGGUGAGGGAGUCCCUUUUAUAGAAUAAGGGAUCGAUCCUUAAUACAUAAAUGAUGGGUUAGGAGUGAUGCUCGCGGCGAGGUGGUUGCUCAGCUGGCGGCGAUGCUCUCUAAUGAAGGUGAGGGAGUCCCUUUUAUAAAAUAAGGGAUCGCUCCUCAGUACAUGAAUAAUGGAUGCUUUCUAAUGAAAGUGAAUGAGUCACUUUUAUAGAAUAACGACUCGCUCCUCAAUACAUAAAUAAUGGGUUAGAGUCCCCCAAGUAUUUUUCAUGAGGCCCAGUUGAGGCCCAAUAUAUGGUACAUAAUGUAGUUCCCCAAGUCUUCAGUCAAUAGGGUCUGUUGGCUGGAGACUUCAAAUUGAAUCCAUGUAUGGGCCGAAGUGGUGGUUGUUCGGAGACGGUAUUUGUAUAUCCUUGUCACACCCCGGACCCGGGGUAGGUGGAAAAUUCGAUCCCAAGUCUGAAACGCGAACUAAAAACUAAAUAAAUAAAAUAAAACGGAAACGGGUUGGAAAAUAAAAUUCUUCUUAUUUAAAAUAACUCAAUAAUUCUUUACAAGGCUAAAUAAAUAAAUACAAAUUCUAGCCUCACAUCUAUCUCGUUUCAUCCCGUCUACCAUUUUGACAGUUUAGUUAGUAAACCUGCAUAACAAUAGAGGGGUGAGCUUCAACAGCUCAGUAGGAACAUAACCUUACCACAGUAAAAUUGACAAUACUAAAUUACGUGUUAUAAAAUCAUGUAAUCAAGUACCAAAUCAUUCUCGAUAACAAUGCAUGAAUGCAAUGCAAAACUCUUCAUCUUUGCCCGUUAAUUCAUAUAAUAAAACACGCGGACCUGCACGUCCCAUACCGUGCAUUUUACCUCUGCAGUGGUGGUUCGAAUGUUUUAAUAUACAAAUUAACCCCAUGUAACUCAAUCAUCCCAAUUUCCCAAACUCUUCGUCGCCAGUCCCGAAUUACCCUUAAAGAAUUUAUGCAUUGUGGGCUCGCCUGAGACCUGGUACCUGCUAAGAGUUUGGCUCAACUACACAAAAGAUAUUUCCAACUACCCUCAUUUCCAGAAUUCCUUCCUCAACACCAAACUUCCAACUAUUCUCACACAUAAGUGAUGCACAAAUAAUCUCAUUUCAUCAUUCACAUGUACCAGAACAUAUUCUCAGCGAAUAUAACUUCACCAAUAAUUUCGUAUCCAAUAACGAGUAAACACACAAGAGCAGUAUUUGUCCAAUUAGUAAACCAUAUCACAUUAAUCAACCAACAAGAUCGAUAAUAAUAUAAUGUUUCACGAAAUUUAAUAAAGCCAAUCUCCGUAAAGGUCUGCCGUAUUUCCCUUACCUAGAGUCCAAAGCAAGCAAACAAUGUCCCUUACCAACACCUCGAUUAAACACAACCAUCGUGGUAACUGGAGUCCCUGAUCCAACAAAUAAACUAUAUCACUGUAUAAUCCCUAUAUCUAACACCCAAUAUAAACUCCUUUAUUUUAGAAUUCCAAUAUUAGGCUUAACAUCACCUUAUCUUAGUUGGACCCUUAAAACAUUUUUCUUUCUUAUUUGGGUCCUAAAAAAUUUCUCAAUUAUAUACAUGCUACCAAGAAGCAUUUGCCCACAAAACAAUUCUAAAAUCACAGUUUUGUCCCAAGCCUUCGGGUAAUAACAAAACUACCCUUAACUUUCAGAGAACUGUAAAAUGGCCCCAAAUCUGAACUUCUAUUUCAGUUUGGUCCCUGUAGGGUGAAUAGUGAUAUUCAUGGCUAUUUUCCAGAUUGGUUCCUCUUGUCUUUCAAUCCAAAACAUGUCUAAACCCAUUUAUCAUGAUCUCUAAGUACCAAAUCACCAUUCAAGUUCACCAAGUUCCCUUAAUUUCGUAACAGCCACAAAAUAUCAAGGUUUAAAAACCAUGAAAUAAUUCUAGGGUUUGCAGCAGCUAGCCCAUAAAGAAUAUAACCUCAAUUCGUUCAGUUAUGCUUCCAAUAAGCUUAAUCCACCAUAAACAACAUUUAAAUUUAAAGAUUAAAGUUUGUGUAGGAAUAAAUCCCAAAAAUGGCAGCUUUCAAAAUCUGCAGUAAAUCCAUAAAUUAUUACUUGAGAUUUGUAAUACUCUUCCCCACGAAAGUGGAAUCAAAUUCGAACUUCCAAAUCAAAAGUUAAGAGAAAAUUGGUGUUUGGUUGAGACAAGGAGAUGAAGCUCAUUGCUUCCUCUUUGCAUCUUUCCGUGAAGAGAAGAAGAAAGACCAUUAGGUCUUUCGAUCCAAUAUAUAGGUGCACUUGCACCGCUUUCUUCAUUUGUGAUCCAAUGUCCACUUGCCACGUUUCAACGUAAUUCUAUCUUCUUCUUAAGGUCCAACUAAAACCUGCCAAGUGGUAGACUUGGCACUUAUUUGAGAACCCGGAUCAUAUCCUUUUGCUGUCACCUUCAGGAGCUGUCAUGUGGUGAUUCGCCAUUGGUCCAGCUUGUAAAUUCAAUUAAAACCUACACUCCGAAAAAUCAUCUAAAAGAUUAUACAAAAUCGCAAUGACGUUCACUACCUUCAUAUGAAAACCUUUUGAAUAAAUAAGCACAACAUAUUUUUUCCAAAUAUUUUUCUUAUUCAAUAAUAAAUUCUUGGGAUAUUACAAUCUUGCACUAAAGCUUUGUAGGUGAAGCUUUGCAAGUGAAGCUUUGAAGCUAGAGCUCUGUAAAUGAAGCUUUCGAAGUUGGAGCUUUUGUAAAUGAAGCUUUUGAAGCUAGAGCUUUGUAAAUGAAGCUUUCGAAGCUGGAGCUCUAUAAAUGAAGCUUUCGAAGCUAGAACUCUAUAAAUGAAGCUUUCGAAGCUAGAGCUUUGUAAAUGAAGCUUUUGAAGCUAGAGCUUUGUAAAUGAAGCUUUCGAAGCUGGAGCUCUAUAAAUGAAGCUUUCGAAGCUAGAGCUUUGUAAAUGAAGCUUUCGAAGCUAGAGCUUUGUAAAUGAAGCUUUUGAAGCUAGAGCUUUGUAAAUAAAGCUUUUGAAGCUAGAGCUUUUGUAAAUGAAGCUUUUAAAGCUAGAGCUCUGUAAAUGAAGCUUUUGAAGCUAGAACUUUUGUAAAUGAAGCUUUUGAAGCUAGAACUCUGUAAAUGAAGCUUUCGAAGCUAAAUUGACAUGAGUGAUGCUCAUGAAUGUUUAUGUUGAUUGACAUGAGUGAUGCUUAUGAAUGUUAACAUGAGUGAUGCUUAUGAAUGUUGACAUGAAUGAUGGUCAUGAAUAUUUAUGUAUGAUUGACAUGAGUGAUGUUCAUGAAUGUUUAUGUAUGAUUGACAUAAGUGGUGCUCAUGAAUGUUUAUGUAUGAUUGAUAUGAGUGAUGCUCAUGUAUAAUUUUGGAGUACUGGACAUACUUUUGAUCACCUGGUUGGUGAUAAUAGCGGCAGGCUGCCGAAUAAUUUUGGGAGUACUGGACGUACUUUUGAUCACCUGGUUGGUGAUAAUAACGGCAAGGUGUCGAAUAAUUUUGGAAGUACUGGGCGUACUUUUGAUCACCUGGUUGGUGAUAAUAGCGGCAGGGUGCCGAAUAAAUUUGGAGCCAUAAGGCUUGGCUCUUUUGGGCAUAUGGCCCUUCGCCAUCCACAUGACAUUGCAGCCCAUUAUUUUAGGCUUGCCUUUUUUUUAUAUUUUAUUUUAUUUUUAUGAUUACCCUCUGAUGGGGUUAUACAGAUGUCUUUGAAAGAUAAGAAAAAUAAAUUACAUCAUUCAAAAAUAAAUCUGACCCUCUGCUCAAUGGGUCACGCCCAUAAUUCUCUUUUCUGCAUGUCAUCACCACAACAAUUAUGUCUGCUUUUUUUUUUUUUUAUCUUAUUUUGCUUUGCUGCUUUUGUUUUUCCCACUUCAUUUCCUGCAACUUUCAAAACGUCAAGGUUGGCAGAGCCCAUCUGCAGACUUGCUUUUGCUUUUUCUUUUCACUUUUAUGGGAGUGGUUGAGCUGUCUGAGGGCCUUUCUUUUUCUUUUGUUGGAUAAGUGCGACAAAGCAUCAAUAUGCUAGCACAUGUGAAUAUCUGGUAAAGCUAAGUCUUUUGUUGGGAAAAGUUAUUCCUUUUGUCUAAGUGGGUUGUUGAAGAUAACCCAUCAUUGCAGCUCCACCACAAGUUUGCAUCUUAGCUUCCAUGCUCGCCGACAGUACCGUAUGGACUGGAUUCCAAUGUUCAGUUGCAAACUCGCAGCCAUUUGGACCGUCACCAGGAAGCCUUGAAUUGAAACACACAUUGUUUUACUGAAAACAGCAACUUUCUCUUCCUCUCCUCAGAAACAACUUAGCACCUAGAACAGAGAGGGAAACAUCCUGCGGACGGCAAGGUCACCGAGAAGCUUGUAACGGAGAGACUUGGCCUGAGCAAUAGCGCACAGCCCUCUGUUGUUAACCUUCUCAACGUAAAGCUCAACGCUGUUUUCUGGAAACUUAAACCUCUUCUGUACAACAGAGGUUAGCUCCCUGAUCCUCAUCCCCUUCUCUCCGAGAACGUUUUGGGUUCAGGUGGCUCGGAUGAUGAUCUGGGUUCGCAUCGGCAUAACCCUAACUUCAACGCCGGAGUAGCCGUCUUCGGCGAGCUCUCUCGUCAACACCUCGUUCAGCUCGGCGAAGAAAACGUCAUUGGCGAUGAACAUUCUGCGGACGGCAAGGUCACCGAGAAGCUUGUAACGGAGAGACUCGGCCUGAGCAAUAGCGCACAGCCCUCUGUUGUUAACCUUCUCAACGUAAAGCUCAACGCUGUUUUUUGGAAACUUAAACCUCUUCUGUACAACAGAGGUUAGCUCCCUGAUCUUCAUCCCCUUCUCUCCGAUAACGUUUUGGGUUCAGGUGCCUCAAAUGAUGAUCUCGGUUUGCAUCGGCAUAACCCUAACUUCAACGCCGGAGUAGCCGUCUUAGGCGAGCUCUCUCGUUAGCACCUCGUUCAGCUCGGCGAAGAAAACGCCAUUGGCGAUGAACUUUCGCUUCUUGCUCAUUUGGGUCGCAGUCGCCAUGGUUGUGGGUGUGAAAGUUGCAGAGAUGGGAUCUGAAAUAUGGUGGCAGGAGAGGAUUCAAGGCCACCUGGGUAUCUACAACAUUGUUCAACUUGAUGCCAAACUGAAAGUACAGGGCCUCACUAUCUCGUUUGCAAUCAUGAAUGACUUUGGUGAUAUAGGAAUACUCAAGUGCAGGCUUACAGGCAUUGAUCAGCAUCACCCCUCCCUGAAUGGCAUCAACCAGAUAUAUAGCAUUUGGAAAUACAAGCUGCAUGAUACAGAGAGUUCCAUGACGACAAAGGUUAACUCCCUUGCAAUCAAAACCAAUGACAAAUGGCCUUUCAGCUGAAAGCUGGGCCAGGCGAAAGAGGAAUGUGAGUCUAUAAAGGAGGAGGUACAGAGGUCAUGCGAUCGGACCAUCCACGCCAAUCUUUAAUUUUGCCUCCAAACCAACGAAACCCUGAUUGUCUCUUAUUCUCUCUCUUCUCAUAUGCUGAUUGAAUGAGUGUGAUUGUAACUGACAAAUAAUGGUAGAGAGAGAAAAAGUUUGUGGUGUUUUGUUUGAAAAGGUGAAAGAGAUCAGAAGCAAAAGUGAGGUAGAGAGAAUUUUGGUUGUCUCUUGGGUUUUGCAGAUCCACGGCGAAGGUGAAAAUUGAGAUAGGACCGACAUAGCUUUUCGUGUCACUUCCCACAGACGACGCCAAAUGUUGAUGCACAAAACCGGAGGGUCUUGGAACAAUGUAAAUCCGACCGUGAAUGUGCAAGAAAGUAAAUAACACAAUAUGUAUCGUGGUUCACCCCAAUGUGCGGGCUACAUCCACAUUGAUAUUGUAUUUCUCUGUUUGUAAAAGGAUUGUGAGGGUGAGAGCUUCUGUAAUGUGAGAGUGAGGCCUCUCUUUGGGGAUCUGAGACCCUUUCGUUUGUGAGGGUGAUGAGGCCCCUUUUAUAGACUAAGGGCUUCUCACUUAUUACAUAUUUCCCCCUUCAUUUAUUACAUAAUUACAUUUGAGUCCCCCGAGUAUUUAUACAAGGUCUAAAUACGGAGGCCCUAAGUAUGGUACAAACACUAUUGAUUCAAUUUAAUUUUUUAUUUGUUGAACGUGAUACAACACAUUGGAGAUGCAAUUCCGGCUUUCCGAGAAAGAUGUUCUACAAAUUUAAAGGCUUUUGUUGUUUUAUGUUAAUCAGGUACGUUUAAAAUAAAUGAAGAUAUUUGAAACGACCAUGAAGCAUGGAAACAUUCCCCAUGAUGCAUGAACCCCUUACAAUUAUAUUUACCUUUCGAUAUAUAUAUACGUUUCAUGCAUUAUGCAAUUUUUGUUAUUUGGAAUUUGCGAGUCAGAGAAUUGAAAUAAAUUAGAAGCAAGGGUUUUUCAAACCCUUCAAUGGCGGAUGAGGUGGUGUUGUUGGAUUUCUGACCAAGCCCAUUUGGGAUGAGGCUGAGGAUUGCUCUGGCAGAAAAGGGCAUCGAGUAUGAGUACAAAGAUGAGGACUUGUGGAACAAGAGCCCACUGUUGUUGCAGAUGAACCCGAUUCACAAGAAGAUACCGGUUCUCAUUCACAAUGGAAAACCAGCCUAUGAUUCCCUCAUUGCGCUUCAGUACAUUGAUGAGGUUUGGAACGAUAAGGCUCCACUCUUGCCCUUUGACUCUUACCUUAUAGCCCAGGGCUGACUUUGUCAACAAGAAGGUGAUUUUUACUCAUUAAUUUACUUAUUUUUUGUUGUUGUUUUUUUUUUUUCAACAAACGAUAUUAUCUACACUAAAAAGAAGAUGGUAGGUUUAGCCUCACAAUGAAUUAUUAAUAAUUUGGUUCAAAUUCGCUAUUUGCAAGAAUCGAACCUAAGACCUCUCACUUACAAGUAAAAAAGAAUAUCCCUAUACCGUAGUACAAGAUGACAAUUUCACAACAUAAUUAAGUUUAGUAUUUUUUUUCUAAAAUAUGCUCUUUUAUUUAUUUUUAAAAAAUCUAUGUUCAAUUUGACAUGAUACUUAAUUUUCUAUGUACCAAUUUGGAAAGAAAAAAAAUUUAAAAAAAAGGGGUUUAUAAGUACCAACUAUGUUUUGGGCCGAAAAGGAACUAACCCAAAAAAAGGGCCUUUCGAGAAGUUGGUGGAAGCUGAUGGAACUCUCUGUUUUUAUUGUUUUUUUUCCCUUCUGGAUUGCUGCAGAACUUUCUGUAGUUCUCGGUGAAACCUUCUGUGCCAUCCUAUAUAUAUACAACUCACUCCACAACCCUCCUUAUCAGUUAGAAUUAUCCAAAGCAAUCAAAGCAAAAUCUCUCACUCAAAUCCUUCGAAUUCACACCCAGCAAAAACCCAACUCAAACCCACCAUCUAAUGGCUCUCAGUCUCUUUGGCGGACGACGAAGCAACGUCUUCGACCCCUUCUCUCUGGACAUCUGGGACCCUUUCGAGGGCUUCGGCGCUCUGGCCAACGUCCCCUCCUCCGCCCGUGAAACCACCGCCAUCGCCAACACUCGCAUCGACUGGAAGGAGACCCCGGAGGCCCACAUCUUCAAGGCGGACCUCCCUGGGAUAAAAAAGGAGGAGGUGAAAGUGGAGGUGGAGGAUGGGAGGGUCCUGCAGAUCAGCGGCGAGAGGAGCCGGGAGCAGGAGGAGAAGAACGACAAGUGGCACAGGGUGGAGAGGAGCAGUGGCAAGUUUAUGAGGAGGUUCAGGCUGCCGGAGAACGCGAAACUUGAUCAGGUGAAGGCGGCGAUGGAGAAUGGGGUGCUGACUGUGACUGUGCCGAAAGAGGAGGAGAAGAAGCCUGAGGUCAAGGCCAUAGACAUUUCCGGUUAAAC